CGUACACUCCUGCGGGAGGCAGCAGUGGGGAAUAUUGCACAAUGGGCGCAAGCCUGAUGCAGCCAUGCCGCGUGUAUGAAGAAGGCCUUCGGGUUGUAAAGUACUUUCAGCGGGGAGGAAGGCGAUAAGGUUAAUAACCUUGUCGAUUGACGUUACCCGCAGAAGAAGCACCGGCUAACUCCGUGCCAGCAGCCGCGGUAAUACGGAGGGUGCAAGCGUUAAUCGGAAUUACUGGGCGUAAAGCGCACGCAGGCGGUCUGUCAAGUCGGAUGUGAAAUCCCCAGGCUCAACCUGGGAACUGCAUUCGAAACUGGCAGGCUAGAGUCUUGUAGAGGGGGGUAGAAUUCCAGGUGUAGCGGUGAAAUGCGUAGAGAUCUGGAGGAAUACCGGUGGCGAAGGCGGCCCCCUGGACAAAGACUGACGCUCAGGUGCGAAAGCGUGGGGAGCAAACAGGAUUAGAAACCCUGGUAGUCCCAUGAU
rnacentral:rRNA from 1 species